rnacentral:lncRNA from 1 species
GAACUUCGAGCGGUUCAAGGAGUCAGAGGUGUACCACUGCCGCUGGGCCAUGCUUGCCGUCCCCGGGAUCCUGGUGCCGGAAGCUCUGGGCCUGGGCAACUGGGUGAAGGCGCAGGAGUGGGCGGCCGUCCCCGGCGGGCAGGCCACGUACCUGGGCGCCCCGGUGCCGUGGGGCACGCUGCCGACCAUCCUGGUGAUCGAGUUCGUGGCCAUCGCCUUCGCCGAGCACCAGCGCACCAUGGAGAAGGACCCCGAGAAGAAGAAGUACCCCGGCGGCGCCUUCGACCCGCUCGGCUUCUCCAAGGACCCCGCCAAGUUCGAGGAGUACAAGCUCAAGGAGAUCAAGAACGGCCGCCUCGCCAUGCUGGCCUUCGUCGGCUUCUGCGUCCAGCAGUCGGCGUACCCCGGCACCGGCCCGCUGGAGAACCUCGCCUCCCACCUCGCCGACCCGUGGCACAACAACAUCGGCGACAUCAUCAUCCCCAGAUCAAUCUCCCCUUGAGCUCAGCUCAGCUGCUGGUUGCUGUUUCCUGUGUACGACUAGGCCCUGCCUGUACAACGAGCGACGACGGUGACUUCCCGCCCGGAAAUUAAACCCUCGUAAUGUAAAGCUUAUGUUAUUAAGUAGCGGCUACUCUUGUAGUCUUGUCUGUAUCAAAUAUAAACUGGUUUGUUAGCUGAAUCCCAAGGUUAUUUCUGAGCCUAACCAGGGGAAAUUUAGCUCAAAACGGAGAAAAUACAUACGAGACCUUUGAUAACUACAAAGUAUUGUAUUUCAUGAGCUAGACACGAUGUUUUUUUUUAAGAUUCACGAGGGAGAGCCUCUACUGAGAUUUUAUUAGAAAUGACAAAAGAAAAUGUUACAACUUAGCCUAGUUACAAAACGUAAUCCAAAAGAUCUAAUUAUGUAGUUUACAAGCAAUGUAGCAAGUAGAACAACUCUUAUGUCUGCCACGAACUCAGCCAAUUCGGGAUGAAAAUGUAAAAUUCACACGCGCUCUGUUAAUGAUCAACCACAGCUCCUUACAGAAUUCUUGCGUACAGUGAUAAACCGAAGGAUCUUUAUUUGUAAAUAGCCAUUCAUUUCGGCUUUUCCAGAUGCUCCAAGUCAUGAGAAUGAUAAUCUCCAUAGAGAAAAGGACGUUAAGUUGGUGUUUAAGGUUUGCUGAGGCCUCCUCUGGAUUAGAAAUUCUGGGGGUUAUUCCAAUUGAGUUCCAGGAGGCUUUUGCAAAAUUGCAUCUGAGGAACAAAUGAUAAAGCGUCUCCUCCCUUUGCCAUAAACAAUUCUCACAUGAGUAAGAUUCCAGGGUCAUGUUUUUCCUUCUUAGCAUAUCUCUGGUAUUUAGUCUAUUUUUAAGCCACAGCCAAUAGAAAACUCUAUGCUUAGGUUGGUGCUCUUCCAUAAGUGUUUGUAGAUAGGGUGAACCUGCGUCUGGCCCAUAAAGUGCCUGUAAGCUUUUUGCGAAGAGUAGUUGUCAGAGCCCCAAAUGUAUCGCCAACGGUCGUGAACAUUACUGAGGGCAAUUUGCUCCGAGACCACCUGCAACUCCAGAUACUGAUCAUAAGCUUGCUCAGAAAUAGGCAAAUGGAAAAAACCAGCGAACUGAUUCUGCUCUUUAGCUUCUUUGAUAGAUAGCUUUGUGUUUUUGACAAAAGAGAAUAGUUCUGGAAAUUUUUGUCUUGGGAUGUUCUGGCUCCACUGAUCAUCCCAGAACGAAAUUGAUCUACCAUUGCCAAUGACUGGGUGCGCCAGGCCCUUAAAGUUGGGGAGGAGCUUGAUCAUGCUCUUCCACCAGAAAGAACCAAUGUUUCUAUGACCUGGCAGUCCACUGGACAAAUAGUAAUUAUUCUAGAUGAGAUUCACCCAUGGUAAGUCACUGUUAUUGAAGAAUUUAUGCAAAAAUUUGAUCAGAAGAGCCUCGUUUUGAGUUUCAAGGCGAAGCACCCCUAGCCCGCCAUUCACUUUUCUCUGAGUAACCGAAACCCAAGCAAUCAGAGGCGAUUUCUUGGAACUAAGGUCAUUCCCUCUCCACAGACAGUUUCUCCUGAAGAUGUCUAUUUGCUUAAUGAUGGUUUUAGGAAUCUUGAGCGUACACAUAAAGAAGGUUGGCAGAGCUGAAAAGACUGAAUUUACCAACACCAAGCGCCCAACUUGGGAUAAAAAAUUUGAAGAGCAUGACAAUCUCUUUUCAAUCCUUUGGAUAAGAGGCAGAAAGUGCUGCUUUCUGGAUUUCGCAAGGCCCAAAGGCAAUCCAAGAUAGGUGAAUGGCAUUCCUCCAAUCUGGCAGUUGAGAGUUCGAGAGAGGAUCUCCAUCUUCUCUGAAGGCACAUUUAUUGGAUACAUAUUUGAUUUGUUAUAGUUUACCUUUAGGCCAGUAGAAGUCUCAAAUGAGUUGAGAAUUGCCUUAAGGAAGAAAAGUUGCUUUGGACAAGCCUCUAGAAUCAAAAGAGUAUCAUCUGCAUACUGAACAAUCGGGAAAUCCAGGUCACCAAUAGCAGGUAAAGGAAGCUUAAGAAGAUUCAAAAGCCUGGCCUUAUUAAUAAUGCUCUGAAGAAGGUCAGCCGCCAAGACGAACAACAGUGGCGAAAGAGGGUCUCCUUGUCUAAUACCUCGCUUGCAAUGGAAGGAUUUACCAGGGACGCCAUUGAGCAACACCGAAGAAGUGCCAGAAAGAAGGAUGCUCCGAACCCAAUUAACCCACUUAGGACCAAAGCCUUUGUGGAUCAAAACUUGAAGAAUCAGUUCAUGCUCAACAGUGUCAAAAGCCUUUUCGAAGUCUAGUUUAAGCACAAUGAUUUCUUUCUUUGAGGAGUGGCAUAAGUGAAUGUAUUCAUAAGCCCAAGCCAAGCAAUCCUGAAUAGAUCUGCCCUUGAUGAAACCAUAUUGGUUCCUAUGAAUUAAUCGAGACAUGAACGACUGCAGACGAUUUGCCAAAAGCUUCAUUAGGAUUUUCAUACUAUUGUUUAAUAACGAAAUUGGCCUAUAAUCUCCCACCUUCUGCGUAUUCUCCUUCUUCGGGAUCAAAACAAUGAAGGACCCAUUAAUACUUCUUAGGCAAACUUCACCAUGAUAGAAUUUUUCACAAAGAUCAUAGAAGUCUUGAGCAAUGAUAUGCCAACACUUCUUAAUGAAGUUGGUAUUGAAACCAUCAGGACCAGGAGAUUUAUCCGAAGGUAAUGAUUUUAUAAUGCUGUCAAUCUCCAUCUUAGUGAACGGGGUGUCUCACUCGUGAAGCUCCUCAUUACGGAUUAAAAGCUCUGGAAGGUCAAAAUCAAUGCCUGAGAAAUCAGACGAUCCCAAUCUGCACUUGAAAGCAUCCCAGAGGAGACCAGAUUUAUGUUCGUGCUCAAAAUGUAUGACCCCAUUCUCGUCAGUCAAAGUGGCAAUUGAAUUUUUCCUGUGUUUAAUGGUGGCAUGAGCAUGGAAGAAACGAGAGCCAAUGUCACCAUCAGUUACCCACUUAAUAGUCGCCCGCUGCUUCCAAUAAAUUUUCUGAAUGUUCAGUAGAUCGGCCACUUUUUGCUGCAGAAUAUCUCUGAAAUUCCAUUCCUCAAUAGAAAGAUCCCGAUGCUCUUCCAUAUUGUCUAUAAGUUCAAUUAGUAGCUUGAUGUUUUGCACCGUUUUAUCAAUUUUUGGCAGCGAUCUCUACCAAUCCUUCAGAACCUUUCGAACACACUUAAACUUGGCAGUCAGGUUUUUAGCCUUGUCAGGAAGGCAAGGGAGCCCAGCCCACGUGGUUUGAAAGAAAUUCAAGAAACCGUCCAAUUCGAGCCAGAAGUUUUCAAACCGAAAAAUUUUAGGUUUAGGGAUCUUGGACUUAAAAGAAACCAGGCAAGGAACAUGGUCAGAGAUGUCUCCCGGCAUCGUUUUGGCACAGAAAUCUGGAUAAACGAUCGACCAUUCUUGAGAGAUGAAAAACCAAUCCAGCCUCUGAAGAAGGGGUUCCCUCUGUCUGUUCGACCAGGUGUAUGCUAAGCCGUGAAGGGGAAUUUCAAUCAAAUCUAAGUUGCUUAUUGCUUCAUUGAACUUCAGCAUUAAGUUAAUAUCACCCCCAGCCUUAUUUCUGUCUUUAGGCCGACGAAUUAAAUUUAAGUCCCCAACAAGGAGCCAAAGCUUGUCAGAAGGCAUAGAAAUAUUAUGCAGCCAAUUGAGGAAAUCGAUUUUCCCUUGUGAAGUACAAGGAGCAUAAACGUUUGUAAUAAUCUAGGAGCAAGCCGAUAAAUUUGAAGUAAAUUCCACCGACUGAGCAUAAUCAUUUUGGAAGAUAACAUUUCCUGAAAGUUUUGAGCUUUUCCAGAUGAUAACUGAACCUCUCGAGUUCCCCACCGAGGGAACAAAAGCAAAUGAAUCAAAUUGAGAAGGACAGAAGUUUUUUAGGUAAAACGAAUCAAAGAGAUCCUUUUUUGUUUCUUGUAGACAGAUAACAUCGCAUCUAGAAUCCCGAAUUGAACAACGAAUGGCGUUCCAUUUAAUAGUAGAAUUAAUUCCUCUAACAUUGUAACUCAGCACAGACCACUCCAAAUAAUUAACAUCAUUUAAGUUACUCAUUGAGUAAACUAGAAGUUUUUGAGCCAGAACGAUACCCAAAACAGUGGGUAAAAUAAGUGUCAGUCGGCAAGCAAAAGAGGAACAUAAAGGUAAAACAAGCACGCACAGGUGCCAGCCAAGUAUCUAGAAGUCCUGGGAAGACCCAACCCAUAAACAUGCACACCCAAAAGUUAGAGGGGCAAAAACCAUAGCCCAGACCACCCGCCUUCCACCUAGUGCUUAUCUUGCUUAUCCUCAUCUGUUGAGCCAUCAGUCCUCUCAUCAUCCGAAUCCUUUCUGCUUGUCCUAUGCUGGCCAACAGAUCCCACAGCAGAUUUCUUCUUCUUCAAACGGCGCUCAGAUAAGUCGUCAUAUGACAAGUUGCAGAACCCGCUCCCCAGAUUCUGAAUCACCUUGGAGGACAGCAAGGGUGGGCCAUCAAAGUUAUGCUGGCACAUGAGACAAUUCCUUUUUGGGCAGGCCCCAUUCCUGAACCCACCAUGUGAUUCCUUCAAGCGCUUACUUCUUCUGAGUUCAGACUCCACAAUGAUAGGUGCCGGGGCAUCACAACUGUCCGAUUCUUUGGAGCUCUCAGAAAGGACAUCAUCUAGAAGUUUAACAUUCGGACAUUCCUUAGGGAUGGCAAAAGGUAAAGAUUUCAGUCCCGGUUCUAGCAGAGUUGAGGGAAUUGCUGAUAACAGAAAGGACUUCUACCAACUGAAGGCUUCAGGUUGAAGCAGCUUCGAAAGAAAAAAGGGUGCCCAGUUCUUUGCGAUAUCCACCGAGGGGUCAGUUGACCCAGCAGGUGCAAAGUACAUGGCCCAAAGUCUGGAGAACUGGGCAGCUCUUUUCCUCUCCUCAAACAUCUGAAACACAGGGUCAGGUUGCCAUCCCUGAUUGACCAUGAAAUUCAUCUCUAAAUUCUGGAAAUGGUUAUUAUUUGGAUCCCCAACUUGGGCCUAAUGCGGCAAAUCAGCAAUACCAGGGACAGGGUCCACUUGAAGCGCCGGGCCAUCAACCUCCUGAGGCCCAUUGAAUGCAGCAAUAUUGACAGCAAGCCCAUCCCCUGGCAAAAUAGGACCAUUCUCAACAACAUGGCCAUUCUGUAGAGGUGCAACUUGACCAGCGCCAAAGGAACUAUCCGACGACAAGCCUGAGUGCUGAUUACUGAGUUGAAGCUCAUCCGGUUGAAUGGGUUGCAAAUCAGGCUGAAAGGGCUGCAGAAUCUGUUGAUUGGGUUGAACAUUUUCGAUCCACUAGUCCCAAUCCCCAUGGGCAUUGUCAUCCUGAAGAGCCGGCAAAUCACCACCCGCAUUCCCCGACGGGAAAUUUAGGUCAAGCCCAACCGGGGGCAUUGGCUGACCCAGACCGAAGAAAACCAAGGGAAGUUGCUGACCAUCUUCCGGGGCAGGAGGAAUAGGGUCCUCAUCCUGAGCCUGCCCGCCAAGCAUGUUUUGCUGAAUAAUCUCACACUGAACAGUCCAAGAAUCACCAACGAAGCCCUCAGCCUCCAAAAAAACAAUGAAUUGAGGAACUUCUUCAAAGGAAGUGACACGGACACGAAGCAAGGUUCUAGAAACAUUACUCCGAUCCUCCUCCCAAAGAAUCAACCUGCAAACGACCCAAUGGCUGCUUGCAAGUACUCCGAGGAACAGUAAUCCAGGGGAAACCCCAGUAGCAUAAGCCAACAAUCAUGGUUGAACAAAAGAGCCCGAUGAUUCCAGGCGUCAUUGUGGCGAACAUCAGUGAAAGUAGCAUCUAAGUAUUGUUGGGGGCCAAGCAGAACCAAAUUGUCUCGCUCCAAAACACUGCGAAACUGCACUAGCACCUGGCCCAAAUGAGAGCGCUGGAUGGCUCUAACCCCAACCCUUCGAUGUUCCACAAGGUACUCUCUGACCACAUCUCUGACCGCAGGGAACAAGACCUCAUGCUCAGGUAAAGGAUGAAUAUUGAUAAUCGCCCAUUCUUCAUGCAUUGGCGGUAAUCUCUGCAAGACUGACCUGACAAUGAUUUCAAGAUGCUGCACCGCCGAAGCGUGGAAGCCUGGCGGGAGGAAAGGCUCCGGGUCGACGCGCCGGUACGCCAUAGCAAGAUUUUCCGAAGAUCGCCGGUGAGCCGAAGGCAAGGUAGCGGUUUGGGGUUUUGGUGAAGUCACACCCAGCGAGAGCUCCAAGGACGCUACGGGCGCCUGUUCGUAUUUUUUAAUAAGACCGCCCUGGCAAACUCCUCGAAGCAGGCAAAUAUGGGAGGGGCCCCAGCCGUCAGAGACCCCGGGGUAGGGCGGAACCAGGAGCCGUAAACCGGGAAAUGAGACGUCCCUUCCAAAAGGCAAUUGCUUUCAAAGGAAGGGAACGAAGCGAGGGGAAAUCCGAAUACUGUUUUCUUAAGAUUGCAAAACAAUUCCAAAUGCCCCUUAACUUUACAAUAGUGGCAGAGAAACACUGAGGGAGCCGCACCAGACGAACCAGCCUUCACAGAGAUGGAAGAGGCCGAAGGGCCAGGCCCAGGCAUGAAAGGCCCAUUGCGCAGAAUGGGCCGCCAAUGAAGCUUACGGAUCCUGAGGAGACCAGCAUUUGAAUUUGAAAAAGGGCGAUCAUCAUGCCCCUGACGACCACGUCUAAUCAAGCUUCCGUUGUGCCUAGGAAAACUCACCGAAGAAGAAAGCCUGAGAGGAGGAUUGCUUAUCGGGGUUCCCGAGGACUUAGCAAAGACUGAAUACUGCGAGCCCCGAGCCCCUGAAGAGGUUCCCAAUCUUUUGAAGACAGAUAGCCUUGGCUCCUCCAAAUUACCAGGGAAGCGAGGAGACAACCUACGUCGACGAAUUGGAACAGCGUUCGCACCAGUCAACGGCGGAAUCCUAACAAUAUUAGCAAACGAUUUUUUUCUUGCCCUUAACAAACCACCAGUUGGCAUUUUCCUCCUGAAGAAAUAAUCUGUAUUCGUAGAUCCAAUUUCGUCCACCAAAGUUCCACAAGUUGAAGAAAGCCUUGAAUUCCGGAUGAACAAUGCAUUUAGAAUUAUAAAUGUGAAAACCAACAGCCUUGGAGGAAACUGUGAAGCGGAACACCCGAUCAGCAAGCUGAGAAACAUUGAAUCCCCUGGCAAAACCACCCAGAGCAGCUUGAAGAAGAUGACUAACUGAAACCGAGUCAAGCUUGAAGAUGCAGCGGCCAAACGAGACCACCAGCCAAAAGGCCGACGGACAAUCUGGACUUCUAGAACACACAGGGGAGGCAAACCGGCGCCUGACAUCAUCUUCGAAUAGCAAACCCGGUCGAAAGUCCAGCCUUGACAAAUCCAUCACGCAAGAUGAAGAAGACCAAGAAGAGGGGAAUGGAAAAGCACAGACGCGAGGUGAUACAAACUCGAGAGACAACCAAAGACGAAGAGGAUGCAGCUAGCAGACAAGAGCCCACCGUCAGGAUCCUCCACGGAACAAGCACACGACCGACCCCAAUGAAGCCAUCAGCGAAGCAGGAGCCUGUACCCUGGGCGGUUAGGCCGUUCCUAGCUAGACACGAUGUUGUUGGCGAGAAUAAUAAUUUCAUCAUGAUGGAUGAUUUCGUCCAAGAUGUGGUUGAUGUCCAGGGUGAAAAUGAUGGGGAGCUUAGUGAGGAGACCUUGGAGGUCCUCGAGGAUGCAUAGUUCUUUGAUGAAUUCAUUAACCACCUCAAUAAUGAUGACCUUCUAUUUGGGAGCCCAUGGUGGAUAGAGAGCCUCAAAGAAUUGAAACAUGUGACAAUGGGUCUGCUCUAUAAGGAUUGUCCAAAGGAAUGGAGGAUGUUGUAUUUUGAUCUCCAAAUGUGGAUGUUGAAGGGUCUUUUUGGAUGGUCCUACACUAGCUUCAAUGAGUUGCUAAGUAAUCUUGGUUCUGUGCUUCUAAAGGACAAUAAAGUGCUCGCCAACAUUUAUCGAGCGAAGGAGCUAAUAUGGCUAGUGUCACAAAGUCUUCAAAAGAUCCGCUCUUGUCCUAACCAUUGUAGAAUAUACGGGGCACCCAAUAUAUGAGCUUAGGGAGCUAUCCACACCAUGACACGAGUCAAUACAAGAGGAAUGUUUGGUCUCGCGUGGAUGCGAACGACGAGAGAGCCUUGAGUGAGAAAAAGAAGGUGACCAAGAAGAGUAGUGUGAAUUGUUGGACCGGAUCGACGGCGAACAGCGCAAAGAACUCAGUGUAGCGCAGUGCCGCCGGAGCGCGAUCACCACGUCUCAACGGAAGAGAGGACACAGUUGUAUUUUCUGUUGCUGCAACUGUGCAACCUUGCAAAUGCAUUCAACUGGGAAUUAAAACACCCGGAUCCGUCUUCCCCGCUGCACUCAACUGCUGCGAGACGUGCCGUAAUUUCAGCAACGUCCGCGACAUGCACGGCGAGCUAAGUCGCAGCGAAAAAACGCCCUUUGAAGCGGUCACGGCGAGGACUGAGUGCACCCAUCAGUCCGCCCAUGAUUCUACGCUGAAUUACAAAAAUGCACGCGCAAUCUAAAACAAACUAAUGCACCUACUAACAAUAUCCCUGACAAGAUUACAGUGAGGCUACUGCAACAUUUACCCCCCAUAAUCUUGUUAAUCUGCAAUUCGAAUUAUUCCAAGCUGUCUCCUCAACUCUGUGAACCGAAUUCUUCCCAGAGGCUUCGUCAAGAUAUCUGCUAGCUGAUCAUCUGAACUUACAUGUUCAAUAUCAAGAACACCACUGCUCACACACUCCCUAAUGUAAUGAUACCGGGUGUCGAAUAUGUUUACUUCUCUCAUGGUACACAGGAUUUUUGCUCAGUUCUUGUGCCGACCGGUUGUCUAUCAAAAGCUUCAAACUCUUCUGCUCAGUACCCAGUAGGUCUGCAAGAAGCCGGUUUAACCAAACACCUUGAUAGGCUGCUAUUGCAGCUGCUAUAUAUUCAGACUCACACGAUGAAAGUGAUACUACCUUUUGUUUCUGAGAAGUCCAGGUGAUUAUGUUCGUACCCAGAAAGAAAACUACACCACUAGUACUCUUUCUCUUUACAAGAUCUCCAGCAUGAUCACUAUAUCUGAGUAUCCGAAAAGUUCUGACGCCACCCCUCUUAGGUAUCUACACCCGAGAUGCUUUGUGCCUGAUAUAUAGCGGAUAAUUCUCUUGACAGCAGCCCAAUGUUCUGCAUUUAGUGACUCCAUCAAUCUACUAACCAUUCCCACCGCUACUUUUUGUUCUCGUAGCAGACCUAUUACAGUGCAUCAUUAACAAGGCUCAUCAACUUGGCCUCCUUCAGCUCCCCUUGCCACCCAAAGAUGGGGCUGGAUUUCCGAUUAUACAAUAUGCCGAUGAUACAAUUAUUGUCAUGAAAGCCUCACAAAGGGAGCUUUUCUGCUUAAAAGCUUUGCUCGAGAGUUACGCCCUAUCAACAGGGCUAAUAAUCAACUACGUAAAAUCCUGUUUAGUUCCUAUCAACACUGACAGUAAAAAAACUAAACUUCUUGCUGGUCUCUUUGGUUGCAAGAUUGAAUCUCUUCCCUUUACAUAUUUGGGGCUACCGAUGGGGACAACAAAGCCAAGGGUUGAGCACUAUGGACCCAUUAUGAGCAAGAUUGAAAGGAAGGUAACCUCCAUCUCUUCUAUGUUGUCACAUGCAGGGAGACUUCAACUUGUCAACUCUGUCCUCUCGUCUCUACCAACAUACGCCAUGUGCACCUUACAAGUUCCAGCUGCGGUCUUGGAGUACAUUGACACAGCCAGACGACACUGUUUGUGGCGUAAUUCUGAUAGCAAUGCAAAAUCUAAGCCUCUGGUGGCUUGGAAUAAAUGCACACGACCAAAGAAAAAAGGUGGUCUGGGGGUCAUCAACCUAAGAAGCCAGAACUCGUAUCUCCGAAUGAAAUUUCUUCACAAGCUCUACAACAGGAAACAAAUCCCUUGGGUUAACCUGGUUUGGAAUACCUACUACUCUAACGGCAAGACCCCUCAUGCAUCCAAGUUCAUGGGCUCAUUUUGGUGGAGAGACGCCCUUAAACUUUGUGAUCUCUUCAGAGGAAUCUCCAACUGUAAGGUUGGAGAUGGUAAAACUGUUCUAUUUUGGCAUGAUUUAUGGAAUGACAACAUCUGCAGAAACAAAUUUCCAAGGCUUUUCACCUUCGCAAAAAAUCAAAGCAUUUCGGUUGCUUCCUUUUUGACUUAGGAGAACUUGACAGACAAUUUCCACUUACCCCUUACUGAGCAAGCAAACACCGAGCUGCAACAGCUCCUGGAUGAAGUGCAACAAAUUCGAGAAUCAGUGAUUGAACCAGAAGAGAAAGACUCUUGGAGUUAUAUUUGGGGGAAUAACACCUACUCGUCAACUAAACUUUACCACUACACUUUCAAAAAUGUGAAUCCUCCAAAACCAUUUCUCUGGAUCUGGGAGUCCAGAUGUUCAAACAAGCUUAAAGUCUUCGCCUGGCUACUGUUGAUGGACAUGCUGAACACCAUAAACAUCCUAAAGAGAAAGAACUUUAAGGUGCAAGGCGACAACUACAGGUGUGCUCUUUGUCAACUUCAAAGAGAAGAAACUGCCUUCCAUUUGUUUUUCAAUUGCCCUUUCAGCAAAGACUAUUGGAGACAUCUGAAUAUUCAGUGGAACCACCAUAUUGACUUCUUUGCGACCUUUCAACAAGCCAGGGACUUGCACGGUUCACCAUUCUUUAUGGAGGUCUUUAUCAUAGCAGCUUGGCGAAUCUGGAAGCAAAGAAACAGUUUUAUCUUUGACAGGGGACGACCAUCUUUCAUUGGCUGGAAAAAAGAAUUCCGCGCCGAAGCUCUUCUGCAAGCUAAUCGCUUUUCUGAAGAGAAAUCAACUCUUUUCUCCUCGCUUGUGAAUUCCUAUAGAUAGGAGAUAGUUUUUUUUCCUGUGCUUUAGUUAGUUUCCUUCUAGUUUAUGUCUUGGGAGCGACUGCUAAUGCUCUUUAUCCGUCUUCUUCUUUAUAUUAAUAUAUAUCUACCACAACAGGGGCUUCCCUUGCUGUACAUUUUCAAAAAAAAAGUAGGACAGGUCAGGUCUGGUAUUUACCAAAUACCUCAAGCUAACAACAAUACUCCUAUAUCUAGUUGCGUCCAAACUGUGUUUAGGUUUACCUGGUGUCAGUUUCAGAUGUUGCUCCAUUAGAGUGUCAACUGGAUUACAACAUGUCAUACCACAGGCUUCAAUUAUUUUCUCUGCAUAGGCACUCUGGCCAAUGGUUACUUCACCUGGAUUUUGUUUUACUUCAAUGCUGAGAUAGUAACUCAGUAGACCCAGGUCACUCAUACUAAAGGUAGCCAUCAUCUGCUGUUUGAAAACAGCUAUGCACUCUCUGUCAGGGCCACAUAUAAUAAGGUCAUCCACAUACAGCCCAACUAGUAGCAAACUCAUUUCCACCCCUCUUCUGUAAACUGCAUGCUCUUUAAGGCUCCUUUGAAGCCCAGUUGACCAUUUCAAGAUCAAGUCUGGCAUUCCAAGCUCUAGGAGCCUACUUCAGUCCAUAUAGAGCCUUUUUUAGUCUUAGAACCUUUCUUUUUGAAUUUGAAUCAGAAAAACCUGGUGGUUGGUUUACAUAUACUUCUUCCUUGAGAUCCCCAUUCAGAAAGGCUGACUUUACAUCCAUGUGGUGUACUUCACAUUCACCUUGAGCUGCAAGAGUCAAUAGAAUCCUUACUGUUUCUAGCCUUGCCACAGGUGCAAAAACUUCCUCAUAAUCCACUCCAUGAAUCUGAGAAUAACCCUUUGCAACUAAUCUGGCCUUACGUUUUACCACUUCACCGGCUGGGUUCCUUUUCACCUUGAAGACCCACUUCAGCCCAAUAGCCUUGUGGUCUUUUGGAAGAUCAGCAAUUUCCCAGGUAUUGUUCUUCACUAUUGACAUCAUCUCCUCUUCCAUGGCUUGCCUCCAGCAAGCUUGUUCAAGAGCCUAAUCAACACUAGCGGGCUCAUCUGCAGCCAGCAUACAAACCCCACUAUAUUCAAAAUCCAGAUCUUGGUAUGUUGAGUCAUACAGAUCGUUCAAGCUUAUGUACCUGUAGACCCCUUGACUCGAGAAGCUUGAAUCAUGGGAAGGUGGAGUUACUGAUCCCUGGUUAUGUGUGGAGCCGGGAGCUGAAAUGGGAGUGGAAUUUGGUGUUUAUGGCUGACCCAUCUCACUUCCCUGUUCAACUGAGUUCACUCCCCCUAAGUUUUGAUCAGAAGAAAUUUCAGUUUCAACAAUUUCUUCUAUUGUCGUCUCUCUGUCAGUUUUAUCAUAAUGAACCUCAAACAUGUCUGGAUCUUGACUGUUUUUUUUGAAAGGAAGGGGCAAAAGACUUGCCGCUCCGAUAUAUAUUAGAUUAGAGAAGAAAGAACGGGAGAAUACAAAACCAAAGCAACUGGAGGGAAGAAGAAAAGAAAGAAAAAAUAAAAGGAAUUAAAAAGAGUUUAAAAAGAAAACAAAGAACCACUAGUCAAGUCCAACAAGACCUCAGCUACUAGCAAUAUCCUUCACUGCAAGAGCCACUGGUUCUACGCUUCUAUGCUGACUUUGAAAAAUUAUGUUAUUUCUUUCCAACCAUAAAUUCCACCAAAAAUGAAUUAGCAGACCGUCGAAACAUCUUCUUGACUGUCUGUUGCAAAGGCUACGCAGACCCGUCCACCAAUCAUACAAAGAUGUGGAACUGGGAAUCCCAGACAGGAAAGGAAGGUUGGCCCAAGACAACACUUUGCUCCACACCUCUCUACUAAAGGGGCAAUCCUUGCAUAAGCGGAGAAUUGUUUCUGGGGCCGAGUUGCAGAGACAACAUAUUGGGUUGCAAGGCCAACCCCUUUUAUGAAGGUUAUCAGCAGUUAGGAUUCUCUUAUGUAGUAGUGUCCAAGCAAAAAAGCGGCACUUCGGUUCCACAUUAGCCUUCCAAAUGGGACAGAGAUUCAUUUUACUGUAAUUGGAUGAGAAUUGGAUUUUGUAUGCACUGCUUGCACUGUACUGCCCAUCUGUCGUCCAUCUCUAAGAAAUGGUGUCCUCCAAACCAUUAAGCUUCUGCAUGUUACCUAUGGCCUGCCAUAGAGAGACGAACUCUCUUAGCUCCCCCUCACCCGUGUAUGGGGAGCAUAAUCGUAUCCAAUUGUUGUUAGUGAGCGCUUUGUCAACCGUGAUGUUCUUCCUCUUUGCCUUCUUGAAUAGAGAUGGUGCAAUGUUCUUAGGGGCUUGGCCUUGGAUCCAGCUAGAUUUCUAGAAUUCAGCUAUCUUUCCAUUGCCAACCGUCACAGUUGUGGAAGCAUUGAAGAGAUCUUCAUCAGUUUUGUCACAAGGAAGCUUCAUGGCAGUCCACGCCCUGUCUUUGCUCUUCCAUCGCAGCCAUAGCCAUCUUAGUCUUAACCCCCUCGCAAAACGAUCAAGAUCCAGAAUUCCAAGACCCCCCUUGUUCUUUGGGAGGCAAGUGAUGGGCCAGUUGAUAAGGCAGUGACCCCCGUUGCAAGCAUCUGGAUUGCUCCCUUUGCACAGUAAGUUUCUUCUCAUUUUGUCAAUUGCUUGCAACAGCCAUUUUUGAGGUGGGAAAACCGUUAGGUGGUAGGUUGUUUGUGCGGAUAGCACCGAUUUUACUAGAGUUUCCCUACCAGCCUUGGACAUCAGUUUGCCUUUCCAGCCAGCCAACCUGUUAUUAAUUUUUUCGAUUAGUGGUUGGAGAUCAAUCCUUUUUACAUUCCGGUAAUGAAGGGGUAACCCAAGGUACUUCCCGGGUAGGCUAGUGUAUUUUCCAGGAAACACAUCCAUUAGCGUUGGCCAUAAUGAUGCUGGAUAUCGAAAUGGGAAAAUUUCUGUUUUGUCAUAGUUGAUCUUUAGCCCUGAACACCCCUUGAACGCGUUGAGAAUCCCUUUCAGCACCUCCAAGUCUAAUUUGUCAGCUCUAACAAACACGCCCGCAUCAUCCGCGUAGAGAGAGCACCGAAGCUUAGCCCCUCUAGGCAGCACCUGUUCAAGCAGUCCAUCUUCAGUGGCCUUCUCAAUCAUCCGAUGUAGCGGGUCCAUCGCUAAAAUGAAAAGGAAGGGAGACAGAGGGUCCCCUUGUUGCACCCCCACGCCUGUGUUUGAUUGCAUUUGAAUGUUGCCCAUUUAUAAUUAUUCUUGAGGAGGAUGAUCCCAUGAUUUCAGCUACCCAAUUGCGCCAUUUCUGGGAGAACCCGCAGGCCCUUAACACAUCCAAGAGAUAUGCCCAAUUCAGGGUGUCGAAAGCUUUGGAGAUGUCGAGCUUGACAAAAAGAGCUGGAUUACCUUUUUUUAUGCAGAUUCAUGAUCACCCUUUGCAUGUAUAUAAAGUUGUCAUGAAUUGAUCGGUUCUGGAUGAAGGCGUUCUGAGCGUUGGAGAUAAUUUCGUUCAUUCUUGGAGCAAGCCUAUUUGCCAUGAUUUUUGUUAUAAUUUUCAUGAAGCUAUUGAUCAGGCUGAUUGGCCUAAACCUAUCAAUUCUGUCAGCAUUUUCCCCCUUCGGUAUGAGGAUGAUGUUUGCUUCGUUGACCAGAUGCAGACUUUUGGAUCUAUGUUGGAAAAAAUCAUUUAUUGCCAUGGAAAGGUCAUUUUUGAUCAACUCGAAGCAGCAUUUGUAGAACAGGCCAAUGAACCCAUCCAGCCCGGGGGCCUUUUCAUAUUGAAGCCCCAUCACAACGUCCUUGAUUUCACUGUCAUCAAUCAAGUUGUCCAGCUCAGAUAACUCAAAAGGAGCAUACCCCAGAUGGUCCCAAUGAACAGCACUACUCCUACCUGUCGUGCCUAGUACCUGGCCGAAGUGAUGUUGUACCUCGUUCAUUUUGUCUUCCUGACUCGUCAACAGUGUGCCAUCUCGAAUUAGCGAUCUGAUUAAAUUUUUCCUUCUUCUGUUAUUGGCCGCUAAGUGAAAGAACUUAGUGUUAGCAUCGCCCAACCGCAUCCAAGUAAGUCUGGAAUGUUGUCUUGCACAUGACCUCUGAGCGGAGGCAAUAUCCAGAAUCUUGAUUUUAAGAGUCCUCCUGAAUUCCAAUUCUUCGGAGGAGAGUUGUCUAAUCUCUUGUGCUUUCUCCAGAAGAGUGAGGAUGAUCUGAAUGAUAGCCAUCUGCACUUUGAAGUUGCCAACUGUAUUGCGUCUCCAGGCCAAUAGAGCCUUGGCCGAGCAAGUCAUCUUUACGUGAAGUCGAAGGAUGGCAUCAUCAGUGUUUACUGUAGAAUUCCAUGCUUGAUGGACUACCUCGUUGAACCCCUCAAUCUGUGGCCAGAAAGAUUCGAAUCUAAACCCCCGGUAGAAGUUAACCGAAGAGUGGCCUUGCAUUAAAAGCGGGCAGUGGUCCGAUGUCAUGGUGCACAUGGAGUGCAGGUCAGCCGAGGGAUACAGGUCAUGCCACUCUGUUGUCGCAAAGAAUCUGUCAAUCCUAGUCAUGGUAGGGUCAACUUGCUCAUUUGACCAGGUGAAUGCUCUAUCGGUGAGAUCUAGCUCUAAGAGAUGCAGAUCAUCAAUUAUGCUAUUGAACUGCCUCAUCACCCUUCUGUUGAUUGAUCCUUUGUUUUUCUCCCUUGCUCUCCUGAUCAUGUUGAAUUCACCUAAUAACACCCAUUCUGGUCUCACCAUGGUUUGGAUGUUACGGAGCUCAGAGAGGAAUAUCAUUUUUUCAUUGUCCAGUUGGGGUAAGUAGACACCCAUGAGGUCCCAAACCUCAUCCACCAAUCUAGAAUUGAUCCUGACUGACAGUGAAUAGGCUGAUGAACAUGGUAAGAGAACCAUGUCAAAAUAAUCCGAAUCAGCAGCGAUUAGGAUUCCGCCCGAGGCGCCCAGAGAAGGUAAGUGAAAAGUUUGGUUUGCAAGCUUGGCACCUACAGUUUCCUUUAAUAAUACAUUUGACCAGCUCGAGAUCUUUGUCUCUUGAAGGCAAACAAUGGAUGCGCCAGUGGACAAAAUUGUAUGCCUUACGCUUUCUCUCUUAGCGUGGUCGUUUAACCCCCAUACAUUCCAAGAAAAAUAGAGCAUUUCAGAUUCAUAAGGUAAUAAAAACCACUCUAGUUGAGACAGUACGAAGCCACCAAUCAUAUCUCAGCCAGGAACCCUGCUGCAGCGAACUAACAGGAAAUAAUGCUUUCAGACAAGGAUUCGCCGAGCCAAUAGAUUGCCCAGACCCAAACGACAAACUGAAAAAACAGAGAUACAAAGGCAUGCCAGGGACCCUAUAGCACUGCCCAGACGCACUAAAACCAGCAGAGAUUAAACAGCGAACAAAGGGAAGGCUGAGCCCGGAACCGCGCCGAUAGCGCCUAGCCAUCUGAGUAAACAUUGAUCUCCAAAAGAACCACCAACAGGCCUAGUCAAGGAGCUCAGAUCCCCUUUGCCUUCACGACUUUGAUGGCCGGCACCACCUUUCGACCCUUCUUUUUAGACUUCACUGCCUUCACAUUGUCUUGAUUUAUCAGCUCCAUGAUUGCCUCCAUUUGCUUCUUGGAGAGAGGCCUUGUGAAUAGACAUGUGAUCUGCUCAAAUGAAUCAUCAAAGUCAGUAAAGCCUGAAGAACUAGAGCGGUCUGAUUUUUUUACUGCAGAAUUGUUAAGUUUGGCGAGUAUGAUUUCCUGGGCUUUGGAUAUCGCAUCCUGGUUACUCCUAGUCUUAAUGCAUUUCUUCGCAGCCAGCCUAACACUUGAUCUUCUAGUGGUGGGUUGGUUCUGAAAUUUUAAUGGAUGUGAUGUGGUCGUGCUACUUUUCGGCGGGGAUGGAAUCAAUGGUGGCUCUGGUGGAUUUGUUAUUGCCGCGAUGAAGUCGAGCAACUGAGUAUUGUCGGCCGAGCUAUUCCCUGUCCUCAGAGCAGGAGAAGCUCUUAAGGUUUCAUGAUUAUCACUAUCAGCUGGUUGAAAAUCUGGUUGAUUGUCACUAUCGACUGGUUGAAAAACUGGGCCGGGUAAGUCAUGGAUAAAUGAGGCACCCAUUAGGCCGACCCGAUCAGCAGCAGGCAUGUUGUAAUCUAUAGCUUGAUUAUCAUUCACAAGUUGAGAGCCUAAAAACUCAAUCGGUUGGACAGCUAGGGCCUUGGCUAGAGUAGAAGUGUUUAGGUUCACGCUAGUGGAACACGCCAGCACACUGUCUAAACUGUUGUGAAUUGUGGCAAAAACAUUAGUGAGAUCAAUAGUAUUGGUUACCUUGCACUUGGAGGUAGCAGGGUCGUGCGAGGUUUCCUGGUUGUCACCGCCAAUAGAGCUUGACUUGCUUCCAACACCAUCAGUUAGCCCCAGACUGUCCUCCUGCGGUCAAACAACAGAAACAAUGGUGUCUGCAAAUGAAACAAUUUUGACCUUCGCCUUGGGCACCCAGCGAGAUGACGGUGUCAUCCCCAGACCAUGACGACGAAAAGGAGUUGAAUGCCUAUGCUUGUCGUUGGAGCUAUAUCAGUCAUCCAUCCCCCCCGCAUCACGACGAACGCGCCCAACCGGAAAGGCUACGAUGUCUACGGUUGCCGCUGUGUCUGUCACGCUGAAAGUCCCCUUCAUCAUCAUCGUGGCCCCAGUCACGGCGCACAGUCUCUCUACCUCUGAAAGCUUCUGCACGUUCUAUUUUUUCGCCCACUGAGUCCGGGGCGCCAUAGUUCCAAACAAACUCUCUGUGCUGCUUGCGAUUAGGAGGCCCCCUGGAUCCCCUCCCAUGGAGGAACGAGAGGUCUUCCACAACCUCGAUGUGAUUGCGAAGGGUGUAAACAUGGCCAGCUUUCAGAUCAGAAGGUUCAUCAUGAUGAGCACCAACAAGUGGUAAGGGGGUGUUGAUUGGUGGAAGCUCCCUGUCUAGUUCUAAUAGCGUUAGCUGGACCUCUUUGGGGAUGUCACAAGGGUCAGAGCACCAUGCCCAGAGAUCGAAAGACCUAGUGCGCUCUCUAUGCCUUGUGCGCUCUUGCACAUAGUGGAUUGCACAGCUCUUGCCCAAGGCCUUCGAAGCCACUUCUUCCCCCCAACAGUGAACCAGAAUCCAUUCAACCCGGACUUUAACUCUAAAUUCAAGGUUUGUUUUCCUAGCAUAGUUGUCCUCUGACCAAUCACCAAAAUGGAAAAUCCGGCCACGAUACGAGACCGAUCUCCUAUCUAGCGCCCAUAGCUUCGACCUUGGAUCCGGGAAGAUGAUAAAGAAUUGCUCAGGAAAGUGCUUGACUAGUUGAUACUGACCGUAGUGAAGGUUGAACUUCUCCCUCAGCAUGUCUCCUGCAGAUAAUGUGUCAACCUCAUGACUGUUGCCGUCGAAGGAGCAAACUACAGCCUUGUCAAUCAGGUCGUCUCUGCGGCGACGGAUGGAGCCGGUCGCCGAGACCGAACAGAAGGCACGCGAUGUCCUUCCCCGAGGAUCUCUAGGGUAGCGAGCCUCCAUUCAUUGGCCUUCCUGAACAGCCUGGAGGAAGGAUUUCUUGUGUAUGAGGGGCAGUUGACUGAGCGGAGCCUUCCGGGGUUGCUCCUGGUACUUAUGGAGGUCGUCGGGCCAUAGCAGCAGCUCAUGGUAGGUAGAGCUCUUUGAUGGAUGCUCGGAUGGUUUAGGAUUAUAGCGAGCAACAUUGAAUGUCCCCUGGGAGCUUUUCUGGUUGCAGGACCUCGCCCGGUGUCCAAAUUGUAGGCAAUGCCAGCAGCGCGUAGGAGCCGAGCAGCAAAAAGCGAGAUGUUCUGGUGAGAGACAGUUGUAGCAUUUACCCUUGAGAUUCAAUUUGAAAAGACUGGUGCCCUUCAUGUCAAAUUGAUGUUUUUGCGGAGCUCUCUCAGGAGCCAUCAAGUUCUUGCGCCACCAGUACCGCGGCCUGACCACAGACCAACCCCCUUCGUUGACAUCCGGAGCAGCAAGAUAUGGCUGUCCAUUCAUACGCGACGCAACAUUGAGACCUUCAGCACGUCGAUGGGACAAAACGCUGCCUGAAUUCAAAGCCCGAUCCGCCUUGCAGGAAUGCUGGAAGCCCGACGAGCAGUCUGCUUCCCACUUGGCUUUUUUAGUCGCCAGGAUACUCGACAUUGAAGUCUGACGUUGUGGAUCUCCAUGUACCGCCUGCACUGGGCGUGAUUCUGCUGUGGUUCUUGAGAUUAGAUCCAAAUUGGUUGUUGAAUAAGAGCCAUCGCCGGUCGCGAUGGUGAAAGUCGCCUAGAGGGGGGUGAAUAGGGCGAAUCUGAAAUUUACAAACUUAAUCACAACUACAAGCUGAGUUAGCGUUAGAAAUAUAAACGAGUCCGAGAGAGAGGGCGCAAAACAAAUCACAAGCGAAUAAGGAGUGUGACACAUGGAUUUGUUUUACCGAGGUUCGGUUCACGCAAACCUACUCCCCGUUGGGGUGGUCACAAAGAUCGGGUCUCUUUCAACCCUUUCCCUCUCUCAAACGGUCCCUCGGACCGAGUGAGCUUCUCUUCUCAAUCAAACGGGAACCAAACUUCCCCGCAAGGACCACCACACAAUUGGUGUCUCUUGCCUUGGUUACAAUUGAGUUGAUCGCAAGAAAGAAUGAGAGAAAGAAGCAAUCAAAGUGCAAGAGCUCAAAUGAACACAACAAAUCUCUCUCACUAAUCACUAAAGCUUUGUGUGGAGUUGGGAGAGGAUUUGAUCUCUUUUGUGUGUCUUGUAUUGAAUGCUAGCUCUUGUAAGUAGUUGGAAGGUGGAAAACUUGGAUGCCUUGAAUGUGGGGGUGGUUGGGGUAUUUAUAGCCCCAACCACCAAACUUGACCGUUGGUGGAGGCUGCUGUCGAUGGGAGCACCGGACAGUCCGGUACGCCAGCCACGUCACCAGGCCGUUGGGUUCCGACCGUUGGAGCUCUGUCUUGUGGGCCCGCCUGGCUAUCCGGUGGUGCACCGGACAGGCCCUGUAGGCUGUCCGGUGUGCCACCCGCGCGUGCUCUGCUCCUCUGCGCGCGCAGGCACGCAUUUAAUACGUUGCAGUCGACCGUUGCGCGCGAAGUAGUCGUUGCUCCGCUGUCACACCGGACAGUCCGGUGUGCGCCGGACACUGUCCGGUGACUCACCAGACAGUCUGGUGAAUUAUAGCGGAGCAGAUUCCCGAAGCUGGCGAGUUCAGAGUUGCUCUCCCUUGGAGCACCGGACACUGUCCGGUGGUGCACCGGACAGUCCGGUGCGCCAGACCAGGGCACACUUCGGUUAUCCCUUGCUCUCUUUGUUGAACCCUUUUCUUGGUCUUUUUAUUGGCCUUUUGUGAACCUUUGGCACCUGUAGAACUUAUAGACUAGAGCAAACUAGUUAGUCCAAUUAUUUGUGUUGGGCAUAUCAACCACCAAAAUCAAUUAGGAAAUAGGUGUAAGCCUAAUUCCCUUUCAAUCUCCCCCUUUUUGGUGAUUGAUGCCAACACAAACCAAAGCAAAUAUAGAAGUGCAUAAUUGAACUAGUUUGCAUAAUUGUAAGUGCAAAGGUUACUUAGAAUUGAGCCAAUAUAAAUUUUCAUAAGAUACACAUGGAUUGUUUCUUUAUUUUUAACAUUUUGGACCACGCUUGCACCACAUGUUUUGUUUUUGCAAAUCCUUUUGUAAAUUCUUUUCAAAGUUCUUUUGCAAAUAGUCAAAGGUAAAUGAAUAAGAAUUUUGAGAAGCAUUUUCAAGAUUUGAAAUUUUCUCCCCCUGUUUCAAUUGCUUUUCCUUUGACUAAACAAAACUCCCCCUCAAUAAAUUCUCCUCUUAGUGUUCAAGAGGGUUUUAAGAUACCGAUUUUGAAGGUGCUACUUUCUCCCCCUUUUGAACAUAAUGAAAUACCAAUUUGAAAAUCAUGAGUUUUAAAAUUAGGUGGUGGUGCGGUCCUUUUGCUUUGGGCUAAUACUUUCUCCCCCUUUGGCAUGAAUCGCCAAAAACGGAUACUUUGAUUGAAAUAUAAGCCCUUUUAAACUACUUUCUUCCCUUUGGCAAACAAAAUAUGAGUGAAGAUUAUACCAAAGACGGAGAGAUGCUCGGAGCGACGGCGAAGGAUGAGUUAUGGAGUGGAGUGGAAGCCUUUGUCUUCGCCGAAGACUCCAAUUCCCUUUCAAUAUACCUAUGACUUGGUUUGAAAUUCACUUGAAAACACAUUAGUCAUAGCACAUGAAAGAGACAUGAUCAAAAGUAUAUUCAUGAGCUAUGUGUACAACACAUCAAAAGAAAUUCCUAGAAUCAAGAAUAUUUAGCUCAUGCCUAAGUUUGUUAAAAGUUUGUUCAUCAAGUGGCUUGGUAAAGAUAUCGGCUAAUUGAUCUUUAGUGUUAAUGUAUGCAAUCUCGAUAUCUCCCUUUUGUUGGUGAUCCCUUAAGAAGUGAUACCGAAUGGCUAUGUGUUUAGUGCGGCUAUGCUCAACGGGAUUAUCCGCCAUGCGGAUUGCACUCUCAUUAUCACAUAGAAGAGGAACUUUGGUUAAUUUGUAACCAUAGUCCCUAAGGGUUUGCCUCAUCCAAAGCAAUUGCGCGCAACAAUGGCCUGCGGCAAUGUACUCGGCUUCGGUGGUAGAAAGAGCUACAGAAUUUUACUUCUUUGAAGCCCAAGACACCAAGGAUCUUCCCAAGAACUGGCAAGUCCCGGAUGUGCUCUUUCUAUUAAUCUUACACCCUGCCCAAUCGGCAUCCGAAUAACCAAUUAAAUCAAAGGUGGAUCCCCUAGGAUACCAAAGCCCAAACUUAGGAGUAUAAACUAAAUAUCUCAAGAUUUGUUUUACGACCGUAAGGUGAGCUUCCUUAGGGUCGGCUUGGAAUCUUGCACACAUGCAUACGAAAAGCAUAAUAUCCGGCCGAGAUGCACAUAAGUAAAGUAAAGAGCCUAUCAUCGACCGGUAUACCUUUUGAUCGACGAAUUUACCUCCCGUGUCGAGGUCGAGAUGCCCAUUGGUUCCCAUGGGUGUUUUGAUGGGCUUGGCAUCCUUCAUCCCAAACUUGUUUAGAAUGUCUUGAAUAUACUUCGUUUGGCUAAUGAAGGUGCCCUCUUGGAGUUGCUUCACUUGAAAUCCUAAGAAGUAUUUCAACUCCCCCAUCAUCGACAUCUCGAAUUUCUGUGUCAUGAUCCUACUAAAUUCUUCACAUGUAGAUUCGUUAGUAGACCCAAAUAUAAUAUCAUCAACAUAAAUUUGGCAUACAAACAAAUCAUUGUCAAGAGUUUUAGUAAAUAAAGUAGGAUCGGCCUUUUCGACUUUGAAUCCAUUAGUGAUAAGAAAAUCUCUUAGGCAUUCAUACCAUGCUCUUGGGGCUUGCUUGAGUCCAUAAAGCGCCUUAGAGAGUUUAUACACAUGGUUAGGAUACUCACUAUCUUCAAAGCCGGGAGGUUGCUCAACAUAGACCUCUUCCUUGAUUGGUCCAUUGAGGAAGGCACUUUUCACGUCCAUUUGAUAAAGCUUAAAGCCAUGGUAAGUAGCAUAGGCAAGUAAUAUACGAAUUGACUCAAGCCUAGCUACGGGUGCAUAGGUUUCACCGAAAUCCAAACCUUUGACUUGUGAGUAUCCCUUGGUCACAAGUCAGGCUUUGUUCCUUGUCACCACACCAUGCUCAUCUUGCUUGUUGCGGAACACCCACUUGGUUCCUACAACAUUUUGAUUAGGACGUGGAACAAAAUGUCAUACCUCAUUCCUAGUGAAGUUGUUGAGCUCCUCUUGCAUCGCCACCACCCAAUCCGAAUCUUGUGGUGCUUCCUCUAUGUCACACCCGGUUUUAGAAGGCAAACCGAAUGAGAACCAUGUACGUGCCAGGAUCAGUUAUUCACGUACACAGCAGUUACAUAAUAUGGACAUCAUCACACAGUGCUCAAAAUAGUAUUAAUAAGGGAAAUAGUCGAUUACAUCAUACGUCUGAGACGUCCAUAUAGUUCUUACAAUAAAUCAAAGUGCGGAAAAGAAACAUAGAUAACCGCGGCCUUCACAGGCAGCCGACUGGGGGGUUGCCGCUAACCCACACCUAGAACUCGUCGUAGUCUUGGAACUCCUGGAAGUCUCCUUCCACAGCUUCAUCUUCGCCUGAGCAGUGGUUGCAAUGCUGACAACCUGGGGAUGGGGGGGGUUUGGUGUGUAGAGCAAGGGUGAGUACACAUCAACAUACUCAGCAAGUAUCCUGUUUGGCUGUAGUGGACUAGCUGUAUGUGGGGGAUAAGUCAAGCAGUUGCUUUUAGUUGGUCAGAUUAUUACUUACUAGUAGAAAGCCAAGUUUUAGCAUUAACCCAAGUUAUUAACCCAAACAUACUCCUUUCCAAACGGAAAGAGUACCACUUACCAGCAUCAUAGUCAUAACCGGAACCAUCGAUCUCAUAACCACCUGUACCAAAGUAUCUCUGAUCAAGUACCACUAAUCACUGGAGCUCCCUUGGCCGCUCAUAACCGUGAGCACGGCUGAUAUAUCAGUUUUUCAAACACUCUGCAGAGGUUGUGCACUUUACCCACAAGCCGUGAUUCCCAUUCUGCCCGGAGAGAGCUACUCCCCAUUGACCACUACCUAGGUGGCCUAGCAGGGCAUCACUACGUAGCCUUUACAAAGAUUCCCCGGGGCUAUAGCCACCCGUUAGGUUUCCUAAAUGCACCGCACUCCUCCCCAAGGGGCGAACCCAAACUUGGCAGAGCGAGCCGCAUACACCGAGCCCCAUUGACGGCACGACGGCUAAGUGAACUACACCCCGGAUCCUCUAAUUAUUCAGCUAAGGGCACCCCAUUCCACCCUCAUGGUUGCACUGUUUUCCCGGGCGGUCAUCCAUAGAACAGGUCCUUACGGAGAGGCACUCGAGAAACCGCUCGAGCCCCCUUGAUGACCACAAGUACAACAUCAUAAUAAGAGAAGGGAAAACAGCGUAUCAUAGAUAAUCUCAUCAUGUUCAUUGAUUAGAGUUUGAGCAAUAGCAUAAAGCUAAACAGUAAUAAUCCAACCCAAAUAGGUGAACAAGGACAUGGAUCACAAAAGCUAGUCAAUCCUUAGGCAUAAAUGUGUAAAGCGGGAGGUGAAUUAAAUAAUGAAUAGGACAUAGAUAGGUCAAAGGACACUUGCCUCCACCAACCGACUGCUGCUCAGGGGCUUCUCCUGCGAGUUCCUCGGGCUCUUCGACCGAAUCGUUCUCUAUGCGAUUGCAAGCAUACAUACAUUCAUCCAUUCAAAUUGGGAAACAAACAGUACAUCAUACAAGGGAACAAAUAAAGUGAAUAUGCAUCAGGUAUGACAUUCGAUAUCGCACUCAUUAUGGUUAGAAAGAAACGGGAAAAGGUCUCGCGGGAGGGGGGGGGUUAAAGCUUAUGCACUAAUGAUUAGUUACAAUUGGUUCUAACAAAAGAAUUCAGUUAUAUGCACUAAUGGAAACCUAGUCGUUUUUAGUUGAUCAAUAUUGGACUAGAUAAACAAUUGAUUAUAUGAAUUAACUAGUGUAACGAAAUUCUAAAUUAAGUUUCCUAUUUCAAUAAUAUGAACAAUGAUUAACCUACCUAAAAUAAAAUAAGUAACAGUAAUGAAAGAAAAUAAAAUAAAAAAAAUAAAGAAAAGGGGGGGGGGGCGGUUGAACCGGCCAGGGGCGGGGGCGGGGGGCGGCCGAGCCGGCGGCGCGCAGGGGCGGCCGAACCGGCGGGGGACGCGGGGCAGGGGGCGGCCGAGCCGGCCAGGGGGCGGCCGAGCUGGCGCGCAGGGGCGGCCGAGCCAGCCGGGGGCGGGGCAGGGCGCGCAGGGGCGGCGGCGGCCGAGCCGGCCAGGGGCGGCCGAGCUGGGCGGCGGGCGGUUGGGCCGGGGCAGGGGCGGCGGCGGCCGAACCGGGUGGGGGGAGAGGAGGGGAGAUGGGGAAGGGAGGAGAGGGGGAGGGGGACCUCACCGGGGACGGGGACGGGCGGCCGAGCGGCGGGGGCGGCCGAGCUGCAGGGGGCGGCGCUAGGGCAGGGGGCGGCGCUAGGGCAGGGGGCGGCGGUUGGGGUGGGGAAGAGAGAAUGAGGGAGAGGGAGAGGGAUUUUGGGGAAAUUGGGGGAAAAGGAGGGGGCGGCUGGGCCAAUGGGCCCAAAGGGGCGCGCGCGGGGGGCGGCUGGGCUGGCUGGGGGCGGCUGGGCCGGCCAGGGGCGGCCCACGGCGCGGGAGAGAGAAAAAGGGAGGGGAGAGAGAAAGAAAAAGAAAAGAAAGGAAAGGGUUUUUCUCCUUUUCGAAAUCCGAUCUUUCUAGAUGAAUGCACUUACAUCUCUAAGCAAUCAAAGAAUGCAUAGUUCGGCAUGGUGCAUCAAACAACAUAAAGUAAUUUAGGGUUUUUCUGUACACGGGAAAAUCCAAGCCAAACCCCGCUAUAACUUUGGAAAAGGUCAAGGUUUAGCGAGAGAACGAGAAAAGAAAAGAGUAACGCCUGAAUUUGGUGAGAGAAAAUAAGAAAAAAAAUUCUACCCCCAAAUUCAGGGCGUUACAAACCUAUCCCCCUUAAAAGAAUCUCGCCCUCGAGAUUCAGGGUUGGCUAGCAAAGAGCUCAGGGUAUUUAGCCAUCAGAUCAUCUUCACGCUCCCAGGUUGCUUCUUCCUCUGAGUGGUGAUUCCAUCUGACUUUGCACAUUCUGAUGGUCUUCCUUCGGGUGACUCGGUCUGCAAUCUCAAGGAUUUGGACUGGCUUCUCAACGUAGGUCAAGUCCUCCUGGACUUCAAGACCUUCCACUGGCAACUGCUCUUCUGGCACACGCAAGCACUUCUUCAACUGAGACACAUGAAAGACAUCAUGCACAGUAGACAAAUUCUCUGGCAAACUGAGCUGAUAGGCCACUUCUCCACGUCUUGCAAGAAUCUGAUACGGACCAAUGUAGCGGGGUGCUAGCUUGCCUUUCACUCCGAAUCUUCUGACUCCUCUGAUCGGUGACACUUUCAGAUAAACAAAGUCUCCGACUUCGAAACUCAGCUCUCUUCUUCUUGUGUCUGCAUAGCUUCGCUGCCUCGAUUGCGCUAUCUUCAGAUUCUCUUGAACCAUCUUGAUGUUCUCUUCGGCUUCAAGCAAAAUGUCUGGCCCAAACACUUGCUUUUCUCCAGGCUGAUCCCAUUGCAACGGAGUUCUACAACUCCUUCCAUAGAGCGCCUGAAAUGGUGACAUCUUCAAACUGGCCUGAUAACUGUUGUUAUAGGAAAACUCUGCAUAAGGCAAUCUCUUAUCCCAUCCGGACUGAUCUUGCAACGCACAGGCUCUCAGCAUAUCUUCAAGAAUUUGAUUGGUCCUUUCGGUCUGGCCAUCUGUCUGCGGAUGAUAAGCUGAACUGAAAUUCAGAUGCGUGCCCAAAGCUUCAUGCAACUGCCGCCCGAAAUGAGAGGUGAACUGCGUUCCUCUGUCUGACACUAUCUUCUUUGGCACACCAUGAAGACAAACGAUCCGAGACAUAUACAAUUCUGCCAAUACGGCACUGCUAUAGUUGGUCUUGACAGGUAUGAAGUGGGCUGACUUGGUCAAACGGUCCACUACUACCCAGAUGGAAUCGUAGCCGGCUCGAGUGCGAGGCAAUCCGACUAUGAAAUCCAUACCAAUUUCAUCCCAUUUCCACUGAGGGAUCUGCAACGGUUGCAACAAUCCGGCAGGUCUCUGGUGUUCUGCCUUAAUUCUUCGGCAACUAUCGCACAUAGCCACAUGCUCUGCGAUUUCCCUCUUCAUUCCGUACCACCAGAAUUUCUUCUUCAGAUCCUGAUACAUCUUCUCACUGCCAGGGUGAAUCGAAUAAGCUGUCUCAUGAGCUUCCUUGAGAAUCAACUCCCGAAUGGACUGGACAUUGGGAACACACAAGCGGUCUUUGAACCAUAUCACACCUUCUGCAUCUUCUCGAAAAUCUUUGCCUUUGCCAUCUAGAAUCAGUCGCCGGAUCUCACUGAUUUUCUCAUCAUUCUCCUGCGCUUCUUUGAUUUCGCGCUCCAAGGUAGGUUCCAACUCAACUGUGACUCCUCGCGAAUUGUUCAGAAAUCUGAGACUCAACCUGUCAAACUCCUUGGCCAACUCAUAAGGCAUCGGACGAGCAACCAUUAGAUUGACUUGACUCUUUCUGCUCAAAGCAUCUGCCACUAUGUUUGCUUUGCCUGGAUGGUAAUGAAUCUCCAACUCAUAAUCUUUGAUCAACUCUAACCAUCUUCGUUGCCUCAUAUUCAACUCGGACUGAGUGAAUAUGUACUUCAGACUCUUAUGGUCUGUGUAAACAUCGCAUUUAUGUCCAUACAAAUAGUGCCUCCAUGUCUUCAGUGCAUGAACCACUGCUGCCAACUCUAGAUCAUGGAUUGGGUAGUUCUUCUCAUGAACCUUCAACUGUCGGGACGAGUAAGCCACAACUCUUCCCUCUUGCAUCAACACACAUCCCAAACCUGUGUAACAAGCAUCACAAUACACCGAGAAGGGCUUGUGCACAUCAGGCAAGACUAGGACAGGCGCUGUAGUCAACUUCUCUUUCAGCGCUUCGAAGGCCUCUUGGCAUUUCUGGGUCCACUUGAACUCAACUUUGUUUCCUAGCAACGCUGUCAUGGGUUUCGCGAUCUUCGAAAACCCUUCAAUGAAUCGCCGAUAAUAUCCGGCCAUUCCAAUGAAGCUCUUGAUUCCUCGGGCAUCUGUUGGCGCUUUCCAGUUCAGAAUGUCUGCCACUUUCUUCGGAUCCACAGCCAAUCCUUCUUUGUUGAUUAUGUGACCCAAGAACAGGACUUCACUGAUCCAGAACUCACACUUGCUCAACUUUGCAUACAACUGGUGCUCUCGCAAUCUCUGCAAUGCCAUCUUCAAAUGAUCUGCGUGCUCUUCUUCGCUUUGAGAAUAAACCAGAAUGUCAUCAAUGAAUACCACCACAAACUUAUCAAGGUAAUCCAUGAAUACACUGUUCAUCAAGUUCAUGAAGAACGCUGGCGCAUUGGUCAAACCAAAAGACAUCACAGUGAACUCAUACAAACCAUACUUGGAAAUGAAUGCCGUCUUCGGAAUGUCCGAAGGUCGGAUCCUGAGCUGAUGAUAACCUGACCUCAGAUCAAUCUUGGAGAACACACUGGCUCCUCUCAACUGGUCGAACAGAUCUUCUAUUCUGGGCAAAGGAUACUUGUUCUUGAUCGUGACCUCAUUCAAAGCUCGAUAAUCGAUACACAUCCUUUUGGUGCCAUCUUUCUUCUCCACAAAUAGGACAGGGGCGGCCCAAGGCGAGGUGCUUGGCCGAAUGUAACCUUUCUCCGACAGCUCAUCAAUCUGCUCCUUAAGCUCAACCAACUCUGGUCCAGAUAUUCUGUAAGCUCUCUUGAAGAUGGGGGCGGUUCCAGGAAGAAGCUCUAUAGCAAACUCAACUUUCCGCUCUGGUGGCAUACCCGGUAAGUCCUUUGGAAACACAUCUGGGAACUCGGACACAACCUUGAUGCUCUCAAUUGGGUCUGCUUCACUGCUAUCAACAGCUAUCUGAUAACAACUUCCUUUCUUUGGCUCAGGUGGGACUAACUCAGUUACCACUUCCUCUCCUAGUGGGGACACCAACUUGAUUGUCCUUUUAUCACAACUGAUAACUGCCUGAUACUUAUCUAGCCAAUUCAUCCCUAGGAUGACAUCUAUUCCCUGAGUACCCAUUACUAUAAGGUUGGCGGGAAAUGCUAUCCCCCUUAUUUCCACACUUAUAUUCAAACAAAUGCUAUCGGCUCGAAUCCUACCACCGGCUGAGUCAAUUUGAAUGGGGGUUGACAUGGUAGUAAUUGGAAGAUUAUGUGCUUCUACCCAUGAUGCAGUAAUGAAAGAAUGCGUUGCUCCAGUAUCAAAUAACACUUCUGCAAUAUGGGAGUCGACUGGGAACAUACCUACUAUCAUGCCGGGGGUCUCCUGAACUGCUUCAGCUUCCAAGUGGUUCAGCCUUCCAUGAUUAUAGCGCGGUUGAGAGCGAUUGCCUGAGAAACGAGGACGAUUGCUGCUUCCAGGCUGGAGUCCACUGAUCUUGCGCUUACGAUCUUCCAUCUCCUUACGCUUUCUCUCUGUCAUGAUUGCUCUGUCAAUCAGGUGCUGGAAUGUCGGGAAGGUGUGAUUCAUCAGUUGGUACUGCAGAGGGUCAACCAAGCCUCUCAGGAAACGGUACUGUCGCUUGGCGUCGGUGUUGACAUCUUCAGGAGCAUAGCGAGACAAUUGCAGAAACUUGUCCCGGUACUCACUGACAGACAAUGGCCCUUGCUUGAGAGCCAGGAACUCCUCCUUCUUCACUGUCAUCAGACCUGCAGGAACAUGGUACUGACGAAAGCUACUUCUGAACUCUUCCCAGGUGAUGGCGUCAGGAUGGGCAUGGGUGGCGAGGUAAGACUCCCACCAUGAUUGGGCUGCUCCUCUCAACAGACGGGGACCAUACAGAACUUUCUCCCUGUCAUCGCACUGAGCGGUAUGCAACUCACGCUCCACAGUGCGCAGCCAAUCUUCAGCAUCCAUAGGGUCUGAAGAAUGAGCGAACGUUGGUGGAUGACCUCUCAUGAAUUCAACACGCUUGUCUCUGGGCAUUUGAGGCAUCUGAGGCUGGGGUGGGGCCUGCUGCUGCUGUUGCUACUGCUGCUGAAUGGCGGCCAAAGUCUGACCGAUGGCUUGAACUGCCUGAGUCUGCAUCAGAAACAUCUGCUCGAUCGACAUCGGGGGCGGGGGCGGCAGGUGCUGCUGCUGGGGCACCUCCUCCUGUUGAGCGGCUCGCUCCUGCUGAGCACGCCUUCCUCCUCUACGCCUGUUCUCUGACAUCUGCAGAAUGCAACCACACAUCAGAACUGAUCUGGCAAAUCUUGCAGCAUAAGAGAAGAGAGUAGAAUUCUUCAACAGCACUGAACAGAUGAGCAUCUUCACUGAUCUCCAACACAGACCACACAGCUUCUUAGAUAAAGAGGAGAGUGGAAUAAAAGGUUUCCCAACUAUAUAACUAACUCUAUUAACAUAAUAGGCAAACCAAAAUGCAGGGGAUACCCACACUCUGGUGACAGUCAUUACAAAGAUCCAAACCAAACAUAGUUCAUCAUGACAAACAUAAAUGCACAGGAUAUAGCAAACUACCCUGUCUAACUAAGACUAACUAAAGCGAGACUAACGCUAAGACUGAAGCUUCUAUGUAUAUAUUUCGUAUUAAUUACAAGAUCCAACUCUAACGAUCUAUGGUUCUAGAGUUAUCUUGGUCUUGCAGUCGGGAUUGCCAUAAGACUGGUGUCCACGCUGAGGUGAGCGGUACGGGUGCUGAGUCCCGACGGGAGCGGGGGAACCUCCGUCCAGAUGACGACGUUCCGCGCGCUCAGCCCGCAGCAGGGCGAUCUCAGCACGAGCCCUACUCAGCUCGUCUAAUGCAUGGUCCAGCUCCGUGUUUAGCACGGCGGCUAGGUUGACUGUGCUGCUCAACCUAGGAUUGCCCUCACCGACAGGUGAGACAAUCACGCCUCCUGUGCUGCCAGAUGGACGGCGGGGGUAAUACUUCAGGUCAAGACCGUCAGCUGCCCCACCGAAAACCGAGCAGUAGUGCGAAAGCGCACGCCGUGCAGCAUCUUGCAUGGCUGCCUCAGCUGAGUCCUGCUCAGAGAUAGAAUAGUGCUCUGAACAGGCCUCCGCACCUUGGAGACUGUUCUCCGGGCAGCGCACCAAGCAGGUUGCCUCCCAGCAGUCCGGGUAGACCCCGCGACUAUGCUGGUAGACCACACAGCGAUACUCGACGGACCAAGUAUGCCGGUCAAAUGCUCGACGUAGCAGGGUGUCGAGCGCAUCGUGGAAGUGACACCCGCGAGCAGCGUCGCGAGUGAUGGGACGAGCAACCCAUCCUUCCGGCUCAGGGUUAGCAGAGAAGUCGGUGUCGUGGCUCGAGCUGUCGUCGCCACCUCCGUCGUCUGGGUCUCCUCCAGCAGCUACUCCAGAAGCUGGGGCGCCCAGUGGUGGUGCAGGGUGCGGCUCCAGAGGAAGCACAGGGGAGCAGCUCCUCACAGACUCUAUCUCCUGGUGGAGCGAGAAGGAAGAGCCCUGCUGCUCCUGUCGUCGAUGUUCCUGCUCCUCACGCAGGCGGUGGUGUAGUCUCUCCAAGUGGCUGGACUGUCCGGCCAUGGGACGGCGAAGCGGACGCUCAGCAAGGCGGGAGGGUAAGAAGGGGAUGACUGACUUUCGUGCAGUGUGUCUAAGUCGAGCCAUCUACAAAAAGACAUCGCAAGCAAAAGGGUGAGAACAGAAUUAAUAUGACCAGCAAAUAAUGAAUCAUAAGUAGAUGAAGGAUUAGAAUAAAACAUGAUUUUCAGCAAGGUAUAAUAUAUAGUAGAACAUAGUUUUGGUCGGUAUGACCAACUUUUGAAGAGAUAUCAAAGUCAAGGCAGGGACAGAGGUCUAUAGUCCUUAGAACGACCAUUCUACUCUAGGUUAGCGGUCCUACAGUCAGCACGGCUUUGAUACCACUUAUGUCACACCCGGUUUUAGAAGGCAAACCGAAUGCGAACCAUGUACGUGCCAGGAUCAGUUAUUCACGUACACAGCAGUUACAUAAUAUGGACAUCAUCACACAGUGCUCAAAAUAGUAUUAAUAAGGGAAAUAGUCGAUUACAUCAUACGUCUGAGACGUCCAUAUAGUUCUUACAAUAAAUCAAAGUGCGGAAAAGAAACGUAGAUAACCGCGGCCUUCACAGGCAGCCGACUGGGGGGUUGCCGCUAACCCACACCUAGAACUCGUCGUAGUCUUGGAACUCCUGGAAGUCUCCUUCCACAGCUUCAUCUUCGCCUGAGCAGUGGUUGCAAUGCUGACAACCUGGGGAUGGGGGGGUUUGGUGUGUAGAGCAAGGGUGAGUACACAUCAACAUACUCAGCAAGUAUCCUGUUUGGCUGUAGUGGACUAGCUGUAUGUGGGGGAUAAGUCAAGCAGUUGCUUUUAGUUGGUCAGAUUAUUACUUACUAGUAGAAAGCCAAGUUUUAGCAUUAACCCAAGUUAUUAACCCAAACGUACUCCUUUCCAAACGGAAAGAGUACCACUUACCAGCAUCAUAGUCAUAACCGGAACCAUCGAUCUCAUAACCACCUGUACCAAAGUAUCUCUGAUCAAGUACCACUAAUCACUGGAGCUCCCUUGGCCGCUCAUAACCGUGAGCACGGCUGAUAUAUCAGUUUUUCAAACACUCUGCAGAGGUUGUGCACUUUACCCACAAGCCGUGAUUCCCAUUCUGCCCGGAGAGAGCUACUCCCCAUUGACCACUACCUAGGUGGCCUAGCAGGGCAUCACUACGUAGCCUUUACAAAGAUUCCCCGGGGCUGUAGCCACCCGUUAGGUUUCCUAAAUGCACCGCACUCCUCCCCAAGGGGCGAACCCAAACUUGGCAGAGCGAGCCGCAUACACCGAGCCCCAUUGACGGCACGACGGCUAAGUGAACUACACCCCGGAUCCUCUAAUUAUUCAGCUAAGGGCACCCCAUUCCACCCUCAUGGUUGCACUGUUUUCCCGGGCGGUCAUCCAUAGAACAGGUCCUUACGGAGAGGCACUCGAGAAACCGCUCGAGCCCCCUUGAUGACCACAAGUACAACAUCAUAAUAAGAGAAGGGAAAACAGCGUAUCAUAGAUAAUCUCAUCAUGUUCAUUGAUUAGAGUUUGAGCAAUAGCAUAAAGCUAAACAGUAAUAAUCCAACCCAAAUAGGUGAACAAGGACAUGGAUCACAAAAGCUAGUCAAUCCUUAGGCAUAAAUGUGUAAAGCGGGAGGUGAAUUAAAUAAUGAAUAGGACAUAGAUAGGUCAAAGGACACUUGCCUCCACCAACCAACUGCUGCUCAGGGGCUUCUCCUGCGAGUUCCUCGGGCUCUUCGACCGAAUCGUUCUCUAUGCGAUUGCAAGCAUACAUACAUUCAUCCAUUCAAAUUGGGAAACAAACAGUACAUCAUACAAGGGAACAAAUAAAGUGAAUAUGCAUCAGGUAUGACAUUCGAUAUCGCACUCAUUAUGGUUAGAAAGAAAUGGGAAAAGGUCUCGCGGGAGGGGGGGGUUAAAGCUUAUGCACUAAUGAUUAGUUACAAUUGGUUCUAACAAAAGAAUUCAGUUAUAUGCACUAAUGGAAACCUAGUCGUUUUUAGUUGAUCAACAUUGGACUAGAUAAACAAUUGAUUAUAUGAAUUAACUAGUGUAACGAAAUUCUAAAUUAAGUUUCCUAUUUCAAUAAUAUGAACAAUGAUUAACCUACCUAAAAUAAAAUAAGUAACAGUAAUGAAAGAAAAUAAAAUAAAAUAAAAAUAAAGAAAAAGGGGGGGGGGGCGGUUGAACCGGCCAGGGGGCGAGGGCGGGGGGCGGCCGAGCCGGCGGCGCGCAGGGGCGGCUGGGCAGGGGCGGCCGAACCGGCGGGGGCGCGGGGCAGGGGGCGGCCGAGCCGGCCAGGGGGCGGCCGAGCUGGCGCGCAGGGGCGGCGGCGGCCGAGCCGGCCAGGGGCGGCCGAGCUGGGCGGCGGGCGGUUGGGCCGGGGCAGGGGCGGCGGCGGCCGAACCGGGUGGGGGGAGAGGAGGGGAGAUGGGGAAGGGAGGAGAGGGGGAGGGGGACCUCACCGGGGACGGGGACGGGCGGCCGAGCGGCGGGGGCGGCCGAGCUGCAGGGGGCGGCGCUAGGGCAGGGGGCGGCGGUUGGGGUGGGGAAGAGAGAAUGAGGGAGAGGGAGAGGGAUUUUGGGGAAAUUGGGGGAAAAGGAGGGGGCGGCUGGGCCAAUGGGCCCAAAGGGGCGCGCGCGGGGGGCGGCUGGGCUGGCUGGGGGCGGCUGGGCCGGCCAGGGGCGGCCCACGGCGCGGGAGAGAGAAAAAGGGAGGGGAGAGAGAAAGAAAAAGAAAAGAAAGGAAAGGGUUUUUCUCCUUUUCGAAAUCCGAUCUUUCUAGAUGAAUGCACUUACAUCUCUAAGCAAUCAAAGAAUGCAUAGUUCGGCAUGGUGCAUCAAACAACAUAAAGUAAUUUAGGGUUUUUCUGUACACGGGAAAAUCCAAGCCAAACCCCGCUAUAACUUUGGAAAAGGUCAAGGUUUAGCGAGAGAACGAGAAAAGAAAAGAGUAACGCCUGAAUUUGGUGAGAGAAAAGAAGAAAAAAAAUUCUACCCCCAAAUUCAGGGCGUUACACUCUACCCUAUGUGGCUCAAUAGAGGAAACAAAAGAGUAAUGCUCACAAAAAUGUGCAACACGAGAUCUAGUGGUUACCCCCUUAUGAAUGUCGUCGAGGAUGGUGUCGACGGGGUGAUCUCGUUGGAUUGCUUGGUGGACUCUUGGGUGUGGCGGUCUUUGUUCUUCAUCUUCCUUGUCUUGAUCAUUUGCAUCUCCCCCUUGAUCAUUGUCGUCAUCUUGAGGUGGCUCAUCUUCUUUAUCUUCUCCUUCAUCAACUUGAGCCUCAUCCUCAUUUUGAGUUGGUGGAGAUGCUUGCGUGGAGGAGGAUGGUUGAUCUUAUCCAUUUGGAGGCUCUUCGGAUUCCUUAGGACACACAUCCCCAAUGGACAUGUUUCUUAGCGCGACACAUGGAGCCUCUUCACCUAUCUCAUCAAGAUCAACUUGCUCUACUUGAGAGCCGUUAGUCUCAUCAAACACAAUGUCACAAGAAACUUCAACUAGUCCUGAGGACUUGUUAAAGACUCUAUAUGCCCUUGUGUUUGAAUCAUAUCCUAGUAAAAAGCCUUCUACAGUCUUAGGAGCAAAUUUAGAUUUUCUACCUCUUUUAACAAGAAUAAAGCAUUUGCUACCAAAGACUCUAAAAUAUGAAAUAUUGGGCUUUUUACCGGUAAGGAGUUCAUAUGAUGUCUUCUUGAGGAUUCGAUGUAGAUACAACCGGUUGAUGGCGUAGGAGGCGGUGUUGACCGCUUCGGCCCAAAACCGAUCCGAAGUUUUGUACUCAUCAAGCAUGGUUCUUGCCAUGUCCAAUAGAGUUCUAUUCUUCCUCUCCACUACACCAUUUUGUUGUGGGGUGUAGGGAGAAGAGAACUCAUGCUUGAUGCCCUCCUCCUCAAGGAAGCCUUCUAUUUGUGAGUUCUUGAACUCCGACCCGUUGUCGCUUCUAAUUUUCUUGAUCCUUAAGCCGAACUCAUUUUGAGCCCGUCUCAAGAAUCCCUUUAAUGUCUCUUGGGUAUGAGAUUAUUCCUGCAAAAAGAACACCCAAGUGAAGCGAGAAUAAUCAUCCACAAUAACUAGACAGUACUUACUCCCGCCGAUGCUUAUGUAAGCGAUCGGGCCGAAUAGAUCCAUGUGUAGGAGCUCGAGUGGCCUGUCAGUCGUCAUGAUGUUCUUAUGUGGAUGAUGAACACCAACUUGCUUCCCUGCUUGGCAUGCGCUACAAAUCCUGUCUUUCUCAAAAUGAACAUUUGUUAAUCCUAAAAUGUGCUCUCCCUUCAGAAGCUUAUGAAGAUUCUUCAUCCCAACAUGGGCUAGUCGGCGAUGCCAGAGCCAACCCAUGUUAGUCUUAGCAAUUAAGCAAGUGUCGAGUUCAGCUCUAUCAAAAUCUACCAAGUAUAGCUGACCCUCUAACACUCCCUUAAAUGCUAUUGAAUCAUCACUUCUUCUAAAGACAGUGACACCUACAUCAGUAAAAAGACAGUUGUAGCCCAUUUGACAUAAUUGUGAAACGGAAAGCAAGUUAUAAUCUAAAGAAUCUACAAGAAAAACAUUGGAAAUUGAGUGGUCAGGAGAUAUAGCAAUUUUAUCCAAACCUUUGACCAAACCUUGGUUUCCAUCCCCGAAUGUGAUAGCUCGUUGGGGAUCUUGGUUUUUCUUAUAGGAGGAGAACAUCUUCUUCUCCCCUGUCAUGUGGUUUGUGCACCCGCUAUCGAUGAUCCAACUUGAGCCUCCAGAUGCAUAAACCUACAAAACAAGUUUAGUUCUUGACUUUAGGUACCCAAAUGGUUUUGGGUCCUUUGGCAUUAGAUACAAGAACUUUGGGUACCCAAACACAAGUCUUUGAUCCCUUGUGUUUGCCCCCAACAUAUUUGGCAACUACCUUGCCGGAUUUGUUAGUUAAAACAUAAGAUGCAUCAAAAGUCUUAAAUGAAAUAUUAUGGUAAUUUGAUGCACUAGGAGUUUUCUUCUUAGGCAAUUUUGCAUGGGUUGAUUGCCUAGAACUAUAUGUCUCACCCUUAUACAUAAAAGCAUGAUUAGGGCCAGACUGAGACUUCCUAGAAUGAAUUCUCCUAAUUUUGCUCUCGGGAUAACCGGCAGGGUACAAAAUGUAACCCUCGUUAUCCUGAGGCAUGGGAGCCUUGCCCUUAACAAAAUUAGACAAUCUUAUAGGAGGGGCAUUAAGUUUGACGUUGUCUCCCUUUUGGAAGCCAAUGCCAUCCUUGAUGCCAGGGCGUCUCCCGCUAUAGAGCAUGCUUCUAGCAAAUUUAAAUUUUUCAUUUUCUAAGUCAUGCUCAUUAAUUUUAGCAUUAAGUUGAGCUAUGUGAUCAUUUUGUUUCUUAAUUAAAGCUAGGGGAUCAUGGAUAACAUCAACAUUAAUGUCUCUACAUCUAGUACAAAUGGAAGUAUGCUCAACGGUAGAUGUAGAGGGUUUGCAAGAUUUUAAUUCUACAACCUUAGCAUGCAAUAUAUCAUUUUUACUUCUAAGGUCCGAAAUGGAAGCAUUGCAAACAUCUAAUUCUUUAGCCUUAGCAAGCAAUUUUUCAUUUUCGAUUCUAAGGUUAGCAAGAGAAAUGUUCAAUUCUUCAAUCUUAGCAAGCAAAUCAACAUUAUCAUUUCUAAGAUUGGUAAUUGAAACAUCACAAGCAUUUGAAUCAACCUUAGCAAUUAAAUUUGCAUUCUCAUUUCUAAGGUUGGCAAUGACAUCAUGGCAAGUGCUUAGCUCACUAGUUAAUUUUUCACAUUUUUCAACUUCUAGAGCGUAAGCAUUUUUAACCUUAACAUGCUUUUUGUUCUCUUUAAUAAGGAAGUCCUAUUGGGUGUCCAAGAGAUCAUCCUUCUCAUGAAUAGCACUAAUUAAUUUAUUUAAUUUUUCCUUUUGUUGCAUGUUUAGGUUGGCAAAAAGAAUGCGUAAGUUAUCCUCCUCAUUGCUAACAUUAUCCUCAUCACUAGAGGUUUCAUAUUUAGUGGAGGAUCUUGAUUUUACCUUCUUCCUUUUGCCGUCCUUUGCCAUGAGGCACUUGUGGCCGACGUUGGGGAAGAGAAGACCCUUGGUGAUGGCGAUGUUUGCGGCGUCCUCGUCGGAGGAGGAGUCGGUGGAGCUCUCGUCGGAGUCCCACUCCCGGCAAACAUGGGCAUCGCCGCCCUUCUUCUUGUAGUACCUCUUCUUCUCCUUUCUUCUCCCCUUCUUGUCGUCGCCCAUGUCACUAUCACUAGAUAAAGGACAUUUUGCAAUAAAAUGACCGGGCUUACCACAUUUGUAGCAAACUUUCUUGGAGCGGGGCUUGUAAUCUUUCCCCUCCUUUGCUUGAGGAUUUGGCGGAAGCUCUUGAUGAUGAGCGCCAUUUCCUCGUUGUCGAGCUUGGAGGCAUCGAUGGGUGUUCUACUCGAUGUAGACUCCUCCUUCUUCUCCUCCGUCGCCUUAAAUGCGACCGGUUGUGCUUCGGACGUGGAGGGGCCAUCAAGCUCAUUGAUCUUCUUUGAGCCUUUGAUCAUCAAUUCAAAGCUCACAAAAUUCCCAAUUACCUCCUUGGGAGUCAUUAGUGUAUAUCUAGGAUUGCCACAAAUUAAUUGAACUUGAGUAGGGUUGAGGAAAACAAGUGAUCUUAGAAUAACCUUAACCAUUUCGUGGUCAUCCCAUUUUUUGCUCCUGAGGUUGCGCACUUGGUUCACCAAGGUUUUGAGCCGGUUGUACAUGUCUUGUGGCUCCUCCCCUUGGCAAAGUCGGAAGCGACCGAGCUCCCCCUCGAUCGUCUCCCGCUUGGUGAUCUUGGUCACCUCGUCUCCUUCAUGCGCGGUCUUUAGCGUGUCCCAAAUCUCCUUAGCACCUUUCAACCCUUGCACCUUAUUAUACUCCUCUCGACUUAGAGAGGCGAGGAGUAUAGUUGAGGCUUGGGAGUUGAAGUGUUGGAUUUGGGCCACUUCGUCCUCAUCAUAAUCUUCAUCCCCUACGGAUGGUACCUGUACACCAAACUCAACAACAUCCCAUAUACUUUUGUGGAGUGAGGUUAGGUGAAAUUGCAUUAAAUCACUCCACCUAGCAUAAUCUUCACCAUCAAACGUUGGUGGUUUGCCUAAUGGGACGGAAAGUAAAGGCGUAUGUUUAGGAAUGCGAGGAUAGCGUAGGGGGAUCUUACUAAACUUCUUGCGCUCAUGGCGCUUAGAAGUUACGGAUGGCGUGUCGGAGCCGGAGGUGGAUGGCGAUGAGGUGUCGGUCUCGUAGUAGACUACCUUCCUCAUAUUCUUCUUUUUGUCACCGCUCCGUCGCGACUUGUGUGAAGGGGAUUCCUUUUCCUUCCCCUUCCCUUUGUUGUAGGACUCUCCCGAUGGAGCCUUCCCGUGGCUUGUAGCGGGCUUCUCGCUGGUCACCAUCUCCCUCUUGGCGUGAUCUCCCGACAUCACUUCGAGCGGUUAGGCUCUAAUGAAACACCGGUUCUGAUACCAAUUGAAAGUCGCCUAGAGGGGAAUGAAUAGGGCGAAUCUGAAAUUUACAAACUUAAUCACAACUACAAGCCGGGUUAGCGUUAGAAAUAUGAACGAGUCCGAGAGAGAUGGCGCAAAACAGCAAGCGAAUAAGGAGUGUGACACACAGAUUUGUUUUACCGAGGUUCGGUUCUCGCAAACCUACUCCCCGUUGGGGUGGUCACAAAGACCGGGUCUCUUUCAACCCUUUCCCUCUCUCAAACGGUCCCUCGGACCGAGUGAGCUUCUCUUCUCAAUCAAACGGGAACCAAACUUCCCCGCAAGGACCACCACACAAUUGGUGUCUCUUACCUUGGUUACAAUUGAGUUGAUCGCAAGAAAGAAUGAGAGAAAGAAGCAAUCAAAGCGCAAGAGCUCAAAUGAACACAACAAAUCUCUCUCACUAAUCACUAAAGCUUUGUGUGGAGUUGGGAGAGGAUUUGAUCUCUUUGGUGUGUCUUGUAUUGAAUGCUAGCUCUUGUAAGUAGUUGGAAGGUGGAAAACUUGGAUGCCUUGAAUGUGGGGGUGGUUGGGGUAUUUAUAGCCCCAACCACCAAACUUGACCGUUGGUGGAGGCUGCUGUCGAUGGGCGCACCGGACAGUCCGGUGCGCCACCGGACACUGUCCGGUGCGCCAGCCACGUCACCAGGCCGUUGGGUUCCGACCGUUGGAGCUCUGUCUUGUGGGCCCGCCUGGCUAUCCGGUGGUGCACCGGACAGGCCCUGUAGGCUGUCUGGUGUGCCACCCGCGCGUGCUCUGCUCCUCUGCGCGCGCAGGCACGCAUUUAAUACGUUGCAGUCGACCGUUGCGCGCGAAGUAGUCGUUGCUCCGCUGUCACACCGGACAGUCCGGUGUGCGCCGGACACUGUCCGGUGACUCACCAGACAGUCUGGUGAAUUAUAGCGGAGCGGAUUCCCGAAGCUGGCGAGUUCAGAGUUGCUCUCCCUUGGAGCACCGGACACUGUCCGGUGGUGCACCGGACACUGUCCGAUGGCCCACCGGACAGUCCGGUGCGCCAGACCAGGGCAGACUUCGGUUAUCCCUUGCUCUCUUUGUUGAACCGUUUUCUUGGUCUUUUUAUUGGCCUUUUGUGAACCUUUGGCACCUGUAGAACUUAUAGACUAGAGCAAACUAGUUAGUCCAAUUAUUUGUGUUGGGCAAUUCAACCACCAAAAUCAAUUAGGAAAUAGGUGUAAGCCUAAUUCCCUUUCAGACGGUCCAUUGCAGAUCCGACUGAGAAAUUAGAUCGCCCUUGCCUUGGGAGGGAAGAUCUUGAACUUGCUUGAAGAAGUCGUCUCUGAUCUGAGCCUGUGAGUGUAGGAGGACCUUCACCGAACUUAUCGGAUCCAGAGGAGGAGGUCUGGCCCUAAGACCGAGCCGCGAGGCCGCCGCGCGGGAGGCCGACCCGAGCCCGCCGCGGAGGGGAGCGCGAGCCCAGCGCGCGGCGGAAGGAGGGCCCCCCACGCCGGAAUCGGAUGACCAAGGGAUGUGGCGGCGCCAUUCGCCCUCAUCCUAACCCGGUGUAUAUAGUCACCUUAUGUGCAAUAUAACCUUCUUUUCCUCAUAAGUGUCAUCUUGACUGUCACCUUCACACAUAGAGGUAUCCCAGUCCCAUUGUUUAUUCUCCUCAAAAAUAACAUCUCUAUUGACCACAAGUCUUCUGGUGCUUGGAUCAAAUAGUCUAUACCCUUUUGUACCUGACUCGUACCCAAUGAACACGAUUCACUUAGAUCUGUCUGAUAAUUUGUUUAUGCCUGGACCGAGUUGUUUUACAUGUGCUAGACAGCCAAACACCCUUAGAUGAUUCACCUUGGGGUUUUUCCAUGCCAAGCCUCAAAAGGAGUUCUACUUUUGAGAGCUUUUGUGGGUGAUCUAUUCAAUAGAUACACUGCAGUUCUGACUGCCUCGCCCCAGAAAAUCAUGGGAACCUUCAUUGCUUUUAGUAAACACCUGGACAUCUCAACCACAGAUUGAUUCCUCCUCUCCACUACUCCAUUCUGCUGUGGUGAGUAAGGAGUGGUAGUGUAGUGCUUUACAUUUUGGUUACAGAAAUAUGUGAAGAGGUUUGAAGUGAACUCGCCCCCUCUGUCUGUCCUUAGCCCUUUCAGCCGCUUACCAGACUCAGUUUCUGCUCUCAGCUUUAGGUUUUUGAAGAAACCAAACGCCUGAUCUUUUGUCUGAAGCAUUUCCACCCACAUAUAUCUGCUAUGGUCAUCUACCACAAGUAGAAAAUAAGAUGCCCCCUAUGCUUUUCGGAGUGAUUUGCCCACAUAAAUCUGCAUGUACUUAUUCUAGACAGCUUUCAGCUCUGAAAUUUGAAGCUUGAGGAAAAGGUUUUCUGUGUUGUUUUCUAAGGACACAACCAUCACACAACUUUUCUAGUCUCUUCACUGUCGGCAUUCCCUCUAACAAACUUCUACCACUUAAAUCAUGUAAAGCCCUGAAAUUUAGGUGACCAAAUCUGGCAUGCCAUUUCCAGCCUACUUCUUCAGAGUUAGUCAGCAGACAGAUUGGUGAUGUCAGGCCAAAUCUAGUAGUGUAUAACAUGUUACCAGCCCUUUCAGCAACGAUUAAUAGUUUGCAUUCUUGAUCAUAAACACACAGUUUCCCAUUUUUUCUUCAUAUUUAAAGCCUUUUUCUUCUAACUGACCGAGACUAACAAUAUUGCACUUCAUCUUAGGAAUAUAAUACACAUCAGUCAAGACUUUAUGACCUCUACUCUGAUCUUGCAUAACCACCGAGCCCAUACCUUGAAUUAUGACUCGAGAGCCAUCACCUAGCCGAACUGUUCCCUGAACAUUUGAAUCAAUCGGUGUCAGCAUUGAUCUUGAACCUGUCAUAUGAUUGCUUGCACCUGUGUCUAGCACCCACAUAUCAUCAGACAUCGAGAUGGGUGUUAUGCCUUGAGAGAGAUGAACAUGUUGGCCGUGUCUGUGAACGACAUCAUAGGUCGCCAGCAUCAGUGCACCGGGGUGAUCAGCACCACCCACAACCACGUUUGCCUCUGGAGCUGGCACUUCCUUUUUACUCCCUUUCUUUGGGCGUUUGCAAUCUUCCGCCCAGUGACCAUAGAUGCCACAAUUUCGGCAUCGACCUUUUUGCCUCGGAGUUCCUUCAGAGGUUAAUUUUACCUGUCCAGAGUUGCUCCCUUCAUGUCACGACGACAUCUUGGUCUUGGGAAAAGAAACACUGGAGUUACCAUCGCCGUCGUGGUGACUACCACACAGAUGGUAUUUGUGCUUCUCCAGCCAUUCUUCCUCCGCUAGAAGGAGACGGCCUGUCUUAUCGACGAGGUGUUCGAUCUUGUCGUCGAAUCGAUCCUCCGCCGCACGCAGGCGCCCCACCAACUCAUCCACAGAGAGUUGUUUUUAAUCACAAAACAUCUCAAUUGUUACCACUACCUGGGUGAACCGUGCAGGGACCACGCAGAGAAAUUUCUUGACGACGCGAACAUCUUCCACGAUUUCGCCGAGUGCUCGGAGGUUGCCGACGAGGUUGGUGAUUCUCAUCCCGAAAUCCUCGACAGAUUCACCGUCUUUAAAUUUGAUAUUCUCAAAUUCUUGGAGAAAUUUCUGGGCGUUCACCUCCUUCACCCGAUCAAUGUCGAGCCGCACCAGUUUCACUGCCUCCCACGCCUCCUUCACGGUCGACCGAGCACCAAGCGUUUGCCACAUUUCCUUCGGUACUGAGCGCAGGAGCGCGCUCAUGGCUUGACGAUCUUGCGACCGCUUGGUGUUGAUUCCAUGAUCAAUCACACCCCAAAUCAACAUCGACCACUCGGCAUAAUUAUCGCGCAUGAGGAGAGGCCACUUCAGAGAGCUCUCUUUCACGCCAGCCCCGGAGGUCGAUGCAUCACUCAUGGUGAUCGACACUUGACGACGGGGAAUGACACGCUUCUUCUUUGGCGGUUCUUGUGGGGGACUCACCGACCCGUCGUAUUGCAUACAACCACGGCUCUGAUACCAGAAUGUUGGACCGGAUCGACGGCGAACAGCGCAAAGAACUCAGUGUAGUGCAGUGUCCCCGGAGCGCGAUCACCACGUCUGAACGGAAGAGAGGACACAGUUGUAUUUUCUGUUGCCGCAACUGCGCAACCUUGCAAAUGCAUUGAACUGGGAAUUAAAACACCGGGAUCCGUCUUCCCCGCUGCACUCAGCUGCUGCGAGACAUGCCGUAAUUUCAGCAACGUCCGCGACAUGCACGGCGAGCUAAGUCGCAGCGGAAAAAACACCCUUUGAAGCGGUCACGGCGAGGACUGAGUGCACUCGUCAGUCCGCCCAUGAUUCUACGCCAAAUUACAAAUAUGCACGCGCAAUCUAAAACAAACUAAGGCACCUACUAACAAUAUCCCUGACAAGAUUACAGUGAGGCUACUACAACAUGAAGCAGAUAUCGUCUCAUGAGAAGGAAGAAGGUUAUAUGUAGAGGAGAAUACAUGCCUUGUAGAUGUGAUAUCUGCCCAUGAUCGAUCUGCUAUGUUAUAUAUUCAGGAACCUUGAGAAUGCUUAGUUGAUGCACUAGCAUGCAUCUAGCGAUUACUUAUAAGAUUUCCAUGGGUUUUUUAUAAAAUGCUUACAAGAUGUACAUUGAGGAUUCUGAACUCGUCGAUUCAAGAACUGAGAAGAACAAAAAAAUGUCAACAAAAUAGCCGUUAGACGCGACUUCACAGUACAUAUCAAAAGUCAUAUGCGGUAUAAUAUUGUGUUUGUUAUCUAUAGGUUUUAAUCAAUUAUGUAUUAUAUUGUGUAGUGAUCCAAACAACUCAAGGG